CCUACGGGAGGCAGCAGUGGGGAAUCUUGCGCAAUGCACGAAAGUGUGACGCAGCAACGCCGCGUGGAGGAAGAAGGCUCUCGGGUCGUAAACUCCUUUCAGUUGGGACGAAGCUUCGUCGGUUAAUAGCCGGCUGGAGUGACGGUACCUUCACAAGAAGCACCGGCUAACUACGUGCCAGCAGCCGCGGUAAUACGUAGGGUGCAAGCGUUGUCCGGAAUCAUUGGGCGUAAAGAGCGUGUAGGCGGCCCGAUUAGUCCGCUGUGAAAGUCCAGGGCUCAACCCUGGAAUGCCGGUGGAUACUGUCGGGCUCGAGUCCGGAAGAGGCGAGUGGAAUUCCUGGUGUAGCGGUGAAAUGCGCAGAUAUCAGGAAGAACACCAACGGCGAAGGCAGCUCGCUGGGACGGUACUGACGCUGAGACGCGAAAGCGUGGGGAGCAAACAGGAUUAGAUACCCUGGUAGUCCACGCCGUAAACGAUGGGUACUAGGUGUGGGGGUGUCGGACUCCCCCGUGCCGAAGCUAACGCAUUAAGUACCCCGCCUGGGGAGGUACGGCCGCGAGCGAAACACGAAGAAGUAGACGGCGUGAGACGUGCCGACGGACGACGACGAGGGAGGAGG
rnacentral:rRNA from 1 species